AAUGAGCUCCUAACUGCUCCAUUCUCUGAGAAAGAGGUGUUUGAGGCCAUUACACAAAUGGAGAAUAAUAAGGCUCCAGGUCCGGAUGGGUUUCCGGCGGAGUUCUACAAAAGGUGCUGGCAUUUUAUUAAGGGAGAUUUGAUGCCCAUGUUUCAGGAGUUUUUUGAGGGACAUCUUCAGCUGUUUAAGCUGAAUUUUGGAACGAUAACUCUUCUUCCUAAGAAGACAGACACUAUUCACAUUGAGCAGUUCAGACCUAUAUGUCUGCUUAAUGUGAGUUUCAAAAUCUUCACCAAGGUCGGGACGAACAGACUUACGCAGAUUGCGCACUCUGUGGUUCAUCCAUCCCAGACCGCUUUCAUGCCGGAUAGAAAUAUCCUUGAAGGGGUUAUUGUCUUGCAUGAAACGCUCCAUGAAAUCCACUCAAAAGAACUUGAUGGCAUAGUUUUUAAAGUGGAUUUUGAAAAACCAUAUGAUAAAGUUAAAUGGCCUUUCCUUCAACAAGCUUUCCGUAUGAAAGGUUUUGAUCCGGCUUGGAGAAACCAGAUUGAUUCCUUUACGCAAAAAGAGAGUGUAGGGAUUAAAGUGAAUGACGACAUAGGACACUAUUUCCAAACACACAAGGGGCUAAGGCAGGGAGACCCGAUGUCACCGAUCCUGUUCAACAUAGUAGCUGAUAUGCUGACUAUUUUAAUAGGUCGGGCAAAGGAUGCAGGGCAGGUAGGUGGCCUAGUUCCACAUCUAGUUGACGGAGGGAUUUCCAUUCUCCAGUAUGCUGAUGAUACUAUCAUCUUUAUGGAGCAUGAUUUGGUGAAAGCAAGAAACAUGAAGCUUUUGUUAUGCUUGUUUGAACAAUUGUCUGGCCUCAAAAUUAACUUCCACAAGAGCGAAUUGUUUUGCUUCGGAAGAGCAAAGGAUGAACAGGACACGUAUAAACAAUUGUUCGGAUGUGAAUUGGGUUCCUUCCCAUUUACGUACUUAGGUAUACCCAUUCAUCAUCGUAAGUUUACUAACAUUGAGUGGAAAUGCAUCGAGGAUCGUUUUGAAAAGAAACUGAGCUGCUGGAAAGGGAAGCUCAUGUCAUACGGAGGACGAUUGAUUCUGAUUAAUUCGGUCCUUACCAGUAUGCCUAUGUUUCUCUUAUCCUUCUUCCUAGUUCCGGUGGGUGUCAGGAAAAGGUUAGAUUUCUACCGAUCUCGAUUCUUUUGGCAGAAUGAUGAGCACAAACGGAAGUAUAGGCUUGCUAAGUGGGAUAUAUUUUGUAGGCCGAAGGACCAA
rnacentral:rRNA from 1 species